UAUGAGAGUUAAAACCUCUCUACGGACC
rnacentral:tRNA from 1 species